rnacentral:rRNA from 1 species
AUUGAACGCUGGCGGCAGGCCUAACACAUGCAAGUCGAACGGUAGCACAGAGAGCUUGCUCUCGGGUGACGAGUGGCGGACGGGUGAGUAAUGUCUGGGAAACUGCCCGAUGGAGGGAGAUAACUACUGGAAACGGUAGCUAAUACCGCAUAACGUCGCAAGACCAAAGUGGGGGACCUUCGGGCCUCACACCAUCGGAUGUGCCCAGAUGGGAUUAGCUAGUAGGUGGGGUAAUGGCUCACCUAGGCGACGAUCCCUAGCUGGUCUGAGAGGAUGACCAGCCACACUGGAACUGAGACACGGUCCAGACUCCUACGGGAGGCAGCAGUGGGGAAUAUUGCACAAUGGGCGCAAGCCUGAUGCAGCCAUGCCGCGUGUAUGAAGAAGGCCUUCGGGUUGUAAAGUACUUUCAGCGGGGAGGAAGGCGGUGAAGUUAAUAGCUUCACCGAUUGACGUUACCCGCAGAAGAAGCACCGGCUAACUCCGUGCCAGCCGCCGCAGUAAGAC